GGGGCCCGGCGAGCAGCCCGGCUGGCGGAACGCGCCCGGCUGGGGAGCCGCAAUAAACGAGGCCCGGGCAGGGGGGGCUGCGCCGCCUCCCCGCCGAGCAAGACAUUCCUUUCCGCUGAACCGGGCGCCCGGGGCGGGGAGGGCGCGGGGCACGCGGGAGCGAGGCCCGGGGCGGCCCCCUCGCCCCCGCCCCCGCGCGGCUCCCCGGGAGCGCACUGCAUCUUCACCUGCCCCGAGGGAAGGGACCGGGAGGCCCGUGAGGGUCGUCAUGCCGCGCGGGUCCCGCAGCUGCCUGCCCAGCGUGUCUGGUCCCCGCUCCUUUGCCCAUCCACUCCCACUCCCCCUCCCCUGGUGGCGACUUGGGGCCUGGUACAGCCCUGCGGGCGCGGGGCCGGGCGCACGGUGGGGGCCCCCCGUAGCCACCGGCUGAUUUCCCAGGAGCCCCACUUCUGACUGCGCGGUGCCAGACGCCCCCGGCCCCAGGGUAGGUGGGAGACGUCUGGAAUUCUUGGUGUACCAGGACCACUAGUAGAGAGAACUUUCCAGACUUCUUCAGGUCCAGAGCCCAGGAGGACACUUCUGGAUGCCAGGAGAGGCCCGAGUUCCAGACACACCUUCCCCUGGACUGCAGAGUUCCUGGUCAAGCCUGGUUGACUUCUGUGUACACAGUUCCUUUAGGGGCGCCCAGUGUUUCCGCCACGCCGCCACCGCUUGGUGCCUUCCUGCCCCGCCUGCUCCCAGCAGUGAGUGACCUGGAGCUACUGUCAAAGGCCUGGGCUUGCCCCCUGGCUGUGUGGCCUGGAGUGGCUGCCUUCCCCAGUCUGAGCCUCUCUCGCUCAUCUGUGAGAUGGGUUAGUAACAGUGCCAGCCUUGCCUGGAUGCUGGAAAGUUCCAUGAGGCCAUGCAAGCCUUGACUUAGCACAGGGCUGGCACACAGUGAACACUGAAGACGCGGUCACUGCUGUUGGAGCUGGUUGUUGGUGGUGGUUGUUAUUUCUGAGGGACUCACCUCGGCCUAGCCAGGCCCCCCUGCCCGUCCCCCCAAGCAGAGCCGUGAGAACGCCAAGCCUGUGGAGCGCCCGGCCCCUCCUCCCGGCCCCCGCUGAGCGGAGUGUCGAAAUCAUCCAGAGAAGCCGCUGAGCAGAAAUUUCCAGUCUCCCUGGCAAAGCCGACGAGAGUUUGGGUGCGGCUCAGAGACAGUUGGGCAGGCUCUGCGGGGCCAGGGCAGGGGAGGGACCCCUGGAGGGUCUGUGAGACCGGCAUCCCCGACCCUGGGGGGCGCCUGGCCUCCAGCCCCAGCCCAAGCCUGUUGUCCCCCUUGUCACUGGAGGGCUCAGGCAGGAGCCGGGCUGGCUCAGCUCCCUUUACCAGGCCUGCACCCCGGGAGUCAAGUAAGCACCCCUGGGAGAAGGGAUAAAAGGGUACCGGGAGGAUGAAGGAGAGGGUGCCUGGGAGCACCAGCACAGCCCCUCGCACCCUGCCCCGGGAGGCCCACUUCUGCUGAUUGCUUGGCCACCAGGAGGAGCAGAGGCCCCCAUCAGGAUGGUGGGUCUCACUGGGGCUGUGGGGACUGUGGGGUCCCUGUCCUAAGUGGCCUGGAGAACCCACAAGGAACCUGGCAGGCAGGCUGAGCUUCGCUUCGCUCACAAGGCUGUGUGACCCCAGAUGAAGUCGCUGAGGCUCAGAGAGGUCGAUUCACUUUCUCAAGGACACACAGCUAGGAAAUGAACGAGUCAGUAUUCAAAUGCUGAUCUCCUGGCUUAGAGCCUGAAUCCCUAAAGAAAAAGCAAGUUGCAUGUUUUCAAAAAUGAACCAUUUUGAGCACCUACUAUGUGUAAGACACCGAGGUGGGCGGCAACAAAAAUAAGGAUGCGUGGCCGGGCCUUCAAGAAGCUCUUAACUGAGUCAGGACACAAGACUCUAAUGAGACUCUCACAAAGGAGAGGUCGGCUCCGUGGGGGGGGUGGAGGGAGAGGUAGGGAGCUGGCCAGGAGGCACAGAGUGGGGUUGGGGGAGGGACAGGGAAGGCUGGUCUUGAGCAAUGAAGAGGAGUUUUAGUGGAGGGCACGGCCAUCCCUGGAGGCAGGCCCAGCAACGCAAGGCAGCGUAAGAGGAUGAAAGCUGCGGGGGCCGGAGGGCGGUGCGGAGAGAAGCCGAGCCCGUUGCCGGCGCUGGGGGCUGGGCCUCGAAGGCCUUCCAGAGCCGCCGUUCUCUCUGAAAGCGGGGAGCCGCCGAAGGUCUUUGAGCAGAGGUGGACAGCGUCCUCUGGGAGCGUUAGAAGGACAGCUCUAUUCUACAGGCAGAGAGGUGUCCUGGGCGCGCACACACACAACUAAAAGGACAGGGAGGGUCAGGAUCCGUCGCGUGAACUUUUACUGCGUUUCCUUAAAAAAAUUUUUUUUUUGCCUUGUAGAGGUAUAACGAUUCCAAAAAAAAAAAAGAAAAAAAGAAAAAGAAAAAGAGGAAAUUUUCAAAAGGAAGAGGGGGCCUGGAGGCAGGGAGAUGGGGGAAGCCACAGCAGAGGGAGCCGGGAUGGGUGGGCAGCUGCCUCUCUGGCGGCUGUUUGAGUGAUGGGCGGUCAGGGGCUGCAUCUCAGAGACCUACAGGGAGCUGAGCGGCUGGCUGCAGGCAUGAGACCCUCCUCUUGCCCAGAGCCUUAGCGCCCCUGACCCAGGAUGGCUUCAGCCCGUCCCUGCUCCUCCCAGAUGUCUGUCCUCACCAGUCUCCUCCCCGCUGGCUCGGCCAUAGGACAUCGGCUGGACCUUAAAUCCUAUCAUGGGCUAAAUGGGGACGGAGCCCAGGCUCCCACUGUCCUUGAGGACAGACUGUCCCAUGCAGGACCCCAGGCGCUGUCUAGGUGCCUUACCCGCAGUGUCUCUUAGUCUGAAUAUAAUCCACAAAAACGUG